rnacentral:ncRNA from 1 species
GUCAGCGUACACAGAAAUGUGUACGUAGAGACGGUCAAUACGAAUCGUCCGAUAUCACUUGAAUUGCUGGAAACCCCUAAAGCUAACUAAACUACAACAUAUAACCUUAAAUGGUUACAGUGUGAACGUUGCGAAAGCAGAAAAAAUUAGUUAGAUGGUGCACGGUUAAAUCCUAAACACUGAAAUAAUGGGCAAUCAGCAGGUAAGACCGAAAGGUAAACUUCAACGACUAUUCCUCUUAAGGGAAGUACACUACAAGCGAUAGGUAGUGGAAGUGGGUGACGCUUAACACAUAAUGGUGAAGAUGAAGAUAUAGUCUGUGCUUAUAUGAAAGUAUAAG